GAUGAACGCUGGCGGCGUGCCUAAUACAUGCAAGUCGAGCGAACAGACGAGGAGCUUGCUCCUCUGACGUUAGCGGCGGACGGGUGAGUAACACGUGGAUAACCUACCUAUAAGACUGGGAUAACUUCGGGAAACCGGAGCUAAUACCGGAUCAUAUAUUGAACCGCAUGGUUCAAUAGUGAAAGACGGUUUUGCUGUCACUUAUAGAUGGUUUCGCGUCGCAUUAGCUAGUUGGUAAGGUAACGGCUUACCAAGGCAACGAUGCGUAGCCGACCUGAGAGGGUGAUCGGCCACACUGGAACUGAGACACGGUCCAGACUCCUACGGGAGGCAGCAGUAGGGAAUCUUCCGCAAUGGGCGAAAGCCUGACGGAGCAACGCCGCGUGAGUGAUGAAGGUCUUCGGAUCGUAAAACUCUGUUAUUAGGGAAGAACAAAUGUGUAAGUAACUAUGCACGUCUUGACGGUACCUAAUCAGAAAGCCACGGCUAACUACGUG
rnacentral:rRNA from 1 species